CCUAUAAGACUGGAAUAACUCCGGGAAACCGGGGCUAAUGCCGGAUAACAUUUAGAACCACAUGGUUAUAAAGUGAAAGAUGGUUUUGCUAUCACUUAUAGAUGGACCCGCGCCGUAUUAGCUAGUUGGUAAGGUAACGGCUUACCAAGGCAACGAUACGUAGCCGACCUGAGAGGGUGAUCGGCCACACUGGAACUGAGACACGGUCCAGACUCCUACGGGAGGCAGCAGUAGGGAAUCUUCCGCAAUGGGCGAAAGCCUGACGGAGCAACGCCGCGUGAGUGAUGAAGGUCUUCGGAUCGUAAAACUCUGUUAUUAGGGAAGAACAAAUGUGUAAGUAACUAUGCACGUCUGACGG
rnacentral:rRNA from 1 species